CUGAAUUAAUGACGGGGUUGUAGCUGGCCUUUACAGGCAUGUGCACGCCUCGCUCAUCCAAAUUCUUACACCCCUGUGCACUUUACAUGGAAUAGUUGGGAUGGUCUGCUUCACGGCGGAUUUGAACAAUCGUUCUGUGAUUUAUUAUAAACGCUUCAGUUUAGAAUGUCAUCUGCGUUUAACGCAUUAAAUA
rnacentral:misc_RNA from 2 species